rfam:Strongylocentrotus purpuratus Contig29190_fixed, whole genome shotgun sequence.
GGCAUGGUGGCUCAGUGGUUAGAGCGCACGCAUCAUGAACGGGAGGUCGUGGGUUCGAACCCCGGUCGAGUCA